GGAGUUUGAUCAUGGCUCAGGAUGAACGCUAGCGACAGGCUUAACACAUGCAAGUCGAGGGGUAACAGGGGAAGCUUGCUUUCCGCUGACGACCGGCGCACGGGUGCGUAACGCGUAUACAAUCUACCUAUUACAGGGGGAUAGCCCAGAGAAAUUUGGAUUAAUACCCCAUAGUAUUAUAAGAUGGCAUCAUUUUAUAAUUAAAGCUUCGGUGGUAAUAGAUGAGUAUGCGUCCUAUUAGUUAGUUGGUAAGGUAAUGGCUUACCAAGACAUCGAUAGGUAGGGGUCCUGAGAGGGAGAUCCCCCACACUGGUACUGAGACACGGACCAGACUCCUACGGGAGGCAGCAGUGAGGAAUAUUGGGCAAUGGACAAGAGUCUGACCCAGCCAUGUCGCGUGCAGGAAGACGGCUUUAUGAGUUGUAAACUGCUUUUAUAUAGGAAGAAACCCUUCGACGUGUUGGAGGCUGACGGUACUAUAUGAAUAAAGACCGGCUAACUCCGUGCCAGCAGCCGCGGUAAUACGGAGGGUCUAAGCGUUAUCCGGAAUCAUUGGGUUUAAAGGGUCCGUAGGCGGGCUAAUAAGUCAGAGGUGAAAUCCCACAGCUUAA
rnacentral:rRNA from 1 species